CAGAGUUCAUGCCCUCACGGGUAGAUCUCCCACCCUUGAAUAUUAUACCUUUGUUGCUUUGGCGGGCCGCUUCGGCUACCGGCUUCGGCUGGUGAGUGCCCGCCAGAGGACCCAAAACUCUGAUAAUUAUGUCGUCUGAGUACUAUUAUAAAUAGUUA
rnacentral:misc_RNA from 1 species